AAAAUAUUGGGAUGUAAAAAGGGAAGGGACAAAACAGCCACCUUUAUUGUCAACCAAAAAGAAGGACCUUUUCUGCCCGAACGUUCGACUCCCAGCCAACGCUCAUCUGAGAUUUCUGGGUAGCUGGUUCGGAAGUCUUGGAUUUGAAGAAUGCCGAAUUGGGAGCUGAAGAGCUGUUGCAAGCAUGACCAGGUCGUCUUCUUGGCCACCAUUGGAGUCUUCACCGUUGUCAUCCUCGCGCUUUGGAGGACAAUAUUACUCACGCCUUUUAAGCUCAUCACGGUCUUCUUGCAUGAAGCAAGCCAUGCAAUUGCUUGCAUACUCACAUGUGGCAAGGUGGAGGGCAUCCAGGUUCAUGCGAAUGAGGGUGGGGUGACACAAACACGUGGUGGUAUAUAUUGGUUGAUCUUGCCUGCAGGAUAUCUGGGUUCAUCAUUUUGGGGAAUGGCUUUAAUACUUGCAUCGACAAAUCUCGUAACUGCAUCGAAUUGCUGCUGGUUGUCUUGGCGUUGCCCUGCUAGUUGUGCUUUUUGUGGCAAAAAAUUGGACACUUCGAGGACUUUGUAUUGGAUUUAUUGUAUUCCUUGCUAUAGUAUGGGUUCUCCAAGAAUUAACUAAAGUCCGUAUUCUUCGCUACGUCAUUCUCUUUAUUGGUGUGAUGAACAGUUUGUUCUCAGUUUAUGAUAUAUAUGAUGAUUUAAUAUCUAGGAGGGUCAACUCCAGUGAUGCUGAAAAAUUUGCAGAAAUUUGCCCGUGCCCCUGUACUGGGGUUGGAUGGGGAGUGAUAUGGGGAUUGAUAUCGUUUAUAUUUCUUUCUGCAUCGGUGUAUCUAGGGCUUGUCAUUCUAUCGUGAGGUCCUGGAGAUUUUGUAUCAGUCGUCCCAUAUCCCCCCGGAGAGUCAGCUCUCACUUAUUUUUUUCCACUCUUCCUUGAUGAGUAGUUGGUUUCAUGGCAUUUUAGCCACACCUGAUUCUUUCAACCCUGUUAUUGUGGGUUACUCUUAUACUCUAAUAGUUGUUGUAAAGUUUGUACUGGUGUUUUACACUCAUAACAAAGAUUUAAACAUAUUGAUGUGAAGUUUUUAUACCUCUAAA